UACGGGAGGCAGCAGUGGGGAAUAUUGCACAAUGGGCGAAAGCCUGAUGCAGCUAUGCCGCGUGUAUGAAGAAGGCCUUAGGGUUGUAAAGUACUUUCAUCGGGGAGGAAAAACAAAACUAAUAAUUUUAUUUCUUGACGUUACCCGAAAAAGAAGCACCGGCUAAUUCCGUGCCAGCAGCCGCGGUAAUACGGAGGGUGCUAGCGUUAAUCAGAAUUACUGGGCGUAAAGAGCACGUAGGUGGUUUUUUUAAAGUCAGAUGUGAAAUCCCUGGGCUUAACCUGGAACUGCAUUUUGAAACUGAAAUACUAGAGUAUCGUAGAGGGAGGUAGAAUUCUAGGUGUAGCGGUGAAAUGCGUAGAUAUCUGGAGGAAUACCUGUGGCGAAAGCGGCCUCCUAAACGAAUACUGACACUGAGGUGCGAAAGCGUGGGGAGCAAACAGGGAUUAGAUACC
rnacentral:rRNA from 1 species